AUUCCAGCUCCAAUAGCGUAUAUUAAAGUUGUUGCAGUUAAAAAGCUCGUAGUUGGAUUUCUGGGAGGGUGGCGAUGUCCGCUUAACGUGUGUGCAGCGGCGCCCUUCCAUCCUUCUGUUAGCGUCUCUUGGCAUUCAUUUGCUGGUGGCGGGCUCAGAUAUUUUACCUUGAGAAAAUUAGAGUGUUUCAGGCAGGCUAGGCCGGAAUACAUUAGCAUGGAAUAAUGGAAUAGGACUACGGUCUCUUUGUUGGUUUGAGGGACUGCAGUAAUGAUUAAUAGGGAUAGUUGGGGGCAUUAGUAUUUAAUUGUCAGAGGUGAAAUUCUCAGAUUUGUUAAAGACUAACUUAUGCGAAAGCAUUUGCCAAGGAUGUUUUCAUUA
rnacentral:rRNA from 1 species